rnacentral:lncRNA from 1 species
UCACACACCCCCUUGGGGGGAUCAUCUCCCCCUCUCUCUCCCUCUUUUUCUCCUCCAUCAAAACUCCACACCUCCACCCUUUCUCUCUUCCAAUCAAGUCUCCACUCCUUCCAACUACUGCCCAGGUGUCUUCUUAGCCCAAGGAUAUCAGCAAGAAGAAGCUCCAUGGCCGGCUAGUUCUCCAUCUUCUUGAAAAAUCAUUGGAAAGCUUGUAAUGACGGUGCUUUUAUUUCUUUAUCUUUUAUACUUUCUUCUUUAUAUGCAAUAAAAGAUUUG